AGAACGAACGCUGGCGGCAGGCUUAACACAUGCAAGUCGAACGCUCGUAGCAAUACGGGAGUGGCAGACGGGUGAGUAACGCGUGGGAACAUACCCUCCGGUUCGGAAUAGCUCAGGGAAACUUGGAUUAAUACCGGAUACGGCUGAGAGGCGAAAGAUUUAUCGCCGGAGGAUUGGCCCGCGUUCGAUUAGCUUGUUGGUGAGGUAACGGCUCACCAAGGCGAUGAUCGAUAGCUGGUCUGAGAGGAUGAUCAGCCACAUUGGGACUGAGACACGGCCCAAACUCCUACGGGAGGCAGCAGUGGGAAUAUUGGACAAUGGGCGCAAGCCUGAUCCAGCCAUGCCGCGUGAGUGAUGACGGCUUAGGGUUGUAAAGCUCUUUCGCUCGGGACGAUAAUGACGGUACCGAGAUAAGACGCCCCGGCUAACUUCGUGCCAGCAGCCGC
rnacentral:rRNA from 1 species